GAUGAAGAACGUAGCGAAAUGCGAUACGUAAUGUGAAUUGCAAACUCAGUGAAUCAUCGAGUCUUUGAACGCACAUUGCGCCCCCUGGUAUUCCGGGGGGCAUGCCUGUCCGAGCGUCAUUGCUGCCCUCAAGCACGGCUUGUGUGUUGGGCCCCGUCCUCCGAUCCCGGGGGACGGGCCCGAAAGGCAGCGGCGGCACCGCGUCCGGUCCUCGAGCGUAUGGGGCUUUGUCACCCGCUCUGUAGGCCCGGCCGGCGCUUGCCGAUCAACCCAAAUUUUUAUCCAGGUUGACCUCGGAUCAGGUAGGGAUACCCGCUGAACUUAAGCAUAUCAAUAAGCGGAGGA
rnacentral:misc_RNA from 1 species